rnacentral:rRNA from 1 species
AACAAACGCUGGCGGCAUGCCUAACACAUGCAAGUCGAACGAGACCUUCGGGUCUAGUGGCGCACGGGUGCGUAACGCGUGGGAAUCUAUCCAUGGGUGGGGGAUAACACUGGGAAACUAGUGCUAAUACCGCAUGAUACCUGAGGGUCAAAGGCGCAAGUCGCCUGUGGAGGAGCGUGCGUUCGAUUAGCUAGUUGGUGGGGUAAAGGCCUACCAAGGCGAUGAUCGAUAGCUGGUUUGAGAGGAUGAUCAGCCACACUGGGACUGAGACACGGCCCAGACUCCUACGGGAGGCAGCAGUGGGAAUAUUGGACAAUGGGGGCAACCCUGAUCCAGCAAUGCCGCGUGUGUGAAGAAGGUCUUCGGAUUGUAAAGCACUUUCGACGGGGACGAUGAUGACGGUACCCGUAGAAGAAGCCCCGGCUAACUUCGUGCCAGCAGCCGCCGUAA